rnacentral:rRNA from 1 species
UACGGGGGGGGCAAGCGUUGUUCGGAAUUACUGGGCGUAAAGGGCUCGUAGGUGGCCAACUAAGUCAGACGUGAAAUCCCUCGGCUUAACCGGGGAACUGCGUCUGAUACUGGAUGGCUUGAGAUUGGGAGAGGGAUGCGGAAUUCCAGGUGUAGCGGUGAAAUGCGUAGAGAUUUGGAGGAACACCAGUGGCGAAGGCGACUUUCUGGUCUGUAACUGACGCUGAGGCGCGAAAGCGUGGGGAGCAAACAGG